CCUACGGGAGGCAGCAGUGGGGAAUAUUGCACAAUGGGGGAAACCCUGAUGCAGCGACGCCGCGUGAGUGAAGAAGUACCUCGGUACGUAAAGCUCUAUCAGUAGGGAAGAAAAUGACGGUACCUGACUAAGAAGCCACGGAUAAUUACAUGACAGCAGCGGCGGUAAUACGUAGGGGGCAAGCGUAAUCCGGAUGUACGGGGUGUAAAGGGAGCGUAGACGGCAGCACAAGUGUGGAGUGAAAUUCCGGGGAUUAACCCCGGAACUGCUUGGGAUACUGUGCGUCUGGAGUGCAGGAGGGGUAAGCGGAAUUCCUAGUGUAGCGGUGAAAUACGUAGAUAUCAGGAGGAACACCGGUGGCGAAGGCGGCUUACUGGACUGUAACUGACGUUGAGGCUCGAAAGCGUGGGUAGCAAACAGGAUUAGAUACCCCUGUAGUC
rnacentral:rRNA from 1 species